UAUGUGAUCGUCUCUCGCAUAUCAAUAAGCGGAGGAAAAGAAACUAACAAGGAUUCCCCUAGUAACGGCGAGUGAAGCGGGAAGAGCUCAAAUUUGAAAUCUUAAAGGGUUUCCCUUUACGAAUUGUAGUUUAAAGAAGUGUUUUCUGUUGAGGUUUUGGUAAAAGUUCUUUGGAAUAGGACAUCAUAGAGGGUGAGAAUCCCGUAUUUGACCUUUACUUUCAACUUUGUGAUACACUUUCAAAGAGUCGGAUUGUUUGGGAAUGCAGUCCAAAAUGGGUGGUAAAUUUCAUCUAAAGCUAAAUAUUGGCGAGAGACCGAUAGCGAACAAGUACCGUGAGGGAAAGAUGAAAAGAACCUUGAAAAGAGAGUUAAACAGUACGUGAAAUUGUCAAAAGGGAAGCGUUUGACACCAGUGUUGUUUUUCUGAAAAUCAAUUAAAGAACUGUUUAUGCUAAGCUGUUUAGACUUUAUCAGCUAUCUGUUUAGUUUUGAGCUUUUCUUUAAUGCACUUUUCAGUUAACAAGUCAACAUCAAUUUCUUUUGCUGUAAAAAAGCUUGAGGAAGGUGGCUUGAGAUUCGUCUUAAGUGUUUAUAGCCUCUUGCCUAUGCAGUCGGAGAGAUUGAGGUCUGCAGCGUAGAUCCUUCGGGGCUAAAUGCAUUUGUGCUAAGUUAUAGCAUUUUAUAGACAACUUGUUGACUAUGAUUUGUCUUGUAGCUUACUCGCUUAUGUUAUUUUACCUACGCUUAGGAUGUUGAGCGCAUGUCUCUCUCU
rnacentral:rRNA from 1 species